rnacentral:rRNA from 1 species
GCUAAGCAGGGUCGGGCCUGGUUAGUACUUGGAUGGGAGACCACUUAGGAAUACCAGGUGCUGUAGGCA